CCCGAUUGUGGCGUUAGUCUCCCAUCCUAGGGGUUUUUCGGCUUUCCAGGGGGCGGCGGGACAGUGCUGCAGGUGGCGGCGCCCCUCUCCGGGACCUUUCUUGGGAGAAGCCGCGGCGCGGUGUCAAAGCACAGGUUUUGGAGUCCAAAAAAGGAGGUUGGGCUCCCUGCUCUCCAGUUCCUGACUUAAUGGCCUGGGCUUGGUAUUUAGGCUCUUGUUUCCUCCCCAUUUAAACGGGGGAAAUGGUGACACUCACUCUCCGGAGUUUGUGAGAACUGAGGACAUAGGGGCGAGGCACGACCCGCACCUUGCAUUUGUACUGUCCGCCAGCAAACAUCUGGCCCUUCACUGAGAGGGAAAGAUGCCCUGAGAAAGCCAUUUCAGAGGCUCCUGAUCCUCAAACCCGGGAUCCCGCGGUGGGAGAAAGGUGCUGACGCCUCAGCCCCGAU
rnacentral:lncRNA from 1 species